rnacentral:rRNA from 1 species
UACAGAGGUCUCAAGCGUUUGUUCGGAUUCAUUGGGCGUAAAGGGUGCGUAGGCGGCGCGGUAAGUCGGGUGUGAAAUCUCGGGGCUUAACUCCGAAACUGCAUUCGAUACUGCCGUGCUUGAGGACUGGAGAGGAGACUGGAAUUUACGGUGUAGCGGUGAAAUGCGUAGAUAUCGUGAGGAAGACCAGUGGCGAAGGCGGGUCUCUGGACAGUUCCUGACGCUGAGGCACGAAGGCCAGGGGAGCAAACGGG